rnacentral:snoRNA from 11 species
ACGUGGUCGGGGUGUGUCGUACCUCUGUAUUCUUGAUUCCUAAGAAGACAGAAACCCAUGUCUGGUUGUUGAACCAGAACCAUGUAACCAGAGCGUGAUUAACAAAGCCAAUGGUUAUAGGGAAUUAGGUU